GUCAACUAACUCCUUUCCGUGCUAAUUAUCACAUUGUGUAAUCCCAUUCUAAUUACAAUUCUACGGCAUGCCCCUCGAUACCAGUUCUUGGAGUCAUCUCAGUAUUCUUCCCAAAAAAUCCAGGAAAAAUCAUAGUUACCCCCCAUACUUGCAGGCUUCUUGAGCAUCUUUCCUGUUCUCUCACCGCCAUUUCUAGAAUGGGCAUAGAUACCUCAAUAUCUCCCCUUCCCAGUACAAUCUCUUUCUUAUACCUGGACGUAAGCAACUCCAUCUUCUCAAGCUCCCACCUCGACUGCCGGACUUCAGCACCACUACUUCACCAAUUUGACCCAGUGAAGUAUUGAAUCCAAUGGAGAAGAGAAAUUGAAUACUGAAAAGUGCAUAAAGUUUGUACCUUUAAUAAAAAAUUGAACAGAAAAACCAAAAAAUAGAUCAAAAUGAAGAGCAAUACAUAAAUUUAGUGCAACCUCGAACCAAAACCGAAAGCAAUUUGGUGAAAUAAGCAUUUACUUAAACAAAGCACAGAAAACAAUUGUCC
rnacentral:lncRNA from 1 species